UAGUAACAAAUCGGAGAAACAACAAUAUCAAUAUCUGACACCCAUGAAGCAAGGCAGAGAGACAUCCACUUAAAGAGAAGCAGUGCAGCUGUUGAAAGUGAUGAGCACAAAGACUUUUCCCUAAGAUCUGAAGGAAAAAGUCAAAGCUCUAAAUACUGCUGGAGACUUGAUCCCCGUGUAAGUUGGAACCAGAAAACAGAGAAAAUGAAACACACUCUUGAUGUCUUCGAGGAGCUCACCAAAUCUAUCUGGCAUGUGUUUAUUUUUUUGGUCCACCUAUUUCAAUAUUGGUAUCUGUAAGAGGAUGGGGAAAUGGCCCGUGCCCAGGGCAUCAGAAUUUUUAUAAGGAGUGGGGCAGGGACCUGAGGGCAAAAGGUCAACUUUUGGACAAGAGGAAGAUGAAUCUUUCCUUGUCCCUCUGCUGCCUGAGUCACCUGGAGCAGACAGACCUGGACUUUGUUACAGCAACAGAAUGUUGUCGAAGAUUUUUGAGCAUGUGAUUUAGAAAGCUUAUUUUUCAUGGCACCGUGGACAAUAAAUUGGAGAAGAGAGAGAGGAGGCAGACAGACAAGGGGAGGAGGCUAUCGCAAUAACCCGGGUUUUGAGGAGAUCGACCUUGAAGACUGCUGGACUCCUACUCAUUUCUGCCUUCUUUGUGGGGAUUCCCCGGGAUUCAAAAGCACAUCAAAGUAGCACAACUAUGUGGCUCUGUUGGUUGAAGGCAUUGCUGAGCCCUUGCUGCGGUGUGUGAGUUGGACAGGAACCAGGUUCUCUCGAAGUUUCAGGAAUGGACUGGCACCACUCCAGAUG